rnacentral:rRNA from 1 species
UACGAAGGGGGCUAGCGUUGCUCGGAAUCACUGGGCGUAAAGCGUCUGUAGGUGGAUGUUCAAGUCUGCUGUCAAAGACCGGGGCUUAACCCUGGAAAGGCAGUGGAAACUGAACGUCUAGAGUGUGGUAGGGGCAGAGGGAAUUCCCAGUGUAGCGGUGAAAUGCGUAGAGAUUGGGAAGAACACCGGUGGCGAAAGCGCUCUGCUAGGCCAGUACUGACACUAAGGGACGAAAGCUAGGGGAGCGAAUGGG